AUUGAACGCUGGCGGCAGGCCUAACACAUGCAAGUCGAGCGGCAGCGGGAAAGUAGCUUGCUACUUUUGCCGGCGAGCGGCGGACGGGUGAGUAAUGCCUGGGAAAUUGCCCAGUCGAGGGGGAUAACAGUUGGAAACGACUGCUAAUACCGCAUACGCCCUACGGGGGAAAGCAGGGGACCUUCGGGCCUUGCGCGAUUGGAUAUGCCCAGGUGGGAUUAGCUAGUUGGUGAGGUAAUGGCUCACCAAGGCGACGAUCCCUAGCUGGUCUGAGAGGAUGAUAAGCCACACUGGAACUGAGACACGGUCCAGACUCCUACGGGAGGCAGCAGUGGGGAAUAUUGCACAAUGGGGGAAACCCUGAUGCAGCCAUGCCGCGUGUGUGAAGAAGGCCUUCGGGUUGUAAAGCACUUUCAGCGAGGAGGAAAGGUUGAUGCCUAAUACGUAUCAACUGUGACGUUACUCGCAGAAGAAGCACCGGCUAACUCCGUGCCAGCAGCCGCCGCCGUAA
rnacentral:rRNA from 1 species